rnacentral:lncRNA from 1 species
CUGGGGAGCCCUGAGGUGCAUGGAAGUGGGGGACUGGCGUCUCUCGAUUCCCGGGCAGCCCCAGCCAUACUCUAGCAUCCUGCCUGGCUGGGUGGAGUGUGUCUCUUGGGUCACACGGAUGCCUGCUGAGGAUGCCCAGUACCGAGGGCCGGUGCCCCGCCCCGCAGUGCCCUCGGCCUGAUUCAGAGCCCACCCCUGGGAGGAGCCCCAACUCCAGGAGGGUUGGGCUGGGGCUUGGAGGUCCUAGCCACAGAGUGACAGGAUGGGGACGAGGCCUAGGGGCCUUGGGGCCAGGAGGGUACCCCCGUGAGGGCCUGGGCUCCUGGGUAAACAUUAAUGGGCUCAGUACCCAGCAGGUCAUGUGCGCGAUCAGGGGAUCUUUGACCUGCAACUGCUCCCGCCCCAUGUCUCCUCCCUGCAGGUGCCCCCUCACCACCCACACAGGUAGGAGCUCCUAGGACCAGGCUGAGGCCCAGGGACAGUGAGGCCGAGGCUGGGUGGCCUCCAGGCCAAGGGCUUGGGCCCCAUCCUGAGUCUCCAGGACCCAAGGGCAAGAGACGCCAGGCUUGGGCAGCAGGAGGGAGGUGUCCCCGAUGACACCGGAUAGGGGAGGUCCCCAGGUUCCCCAGCUCAUGGCCUGCACCCUCGGCACUAGCCUUCCAGUCAGGACCAGCAAGGGAGCCGGGGAGCUGGAGCCCCUUCGAGUCUACCCGAAACUGGACUGGGCUCGCCUGGCAACUGCCUGAGGUCAUUGCAGCAA